ACGCUGGCGGCAGGCCUAACACAUGCAGUCGAGCGGUAGAGAGAAGCUUGCUUCUCUUGAGAGCGGCGGACGGGUGAGUAAUGCCUAGGAAUCUGCCUGGUAGUGGGGGAUAACGUUCGGAAACGGACGCUAAUACCGCAUACGUCCUACGGGAGAAAGCAGGGGACCUUCGGGCCUUGCGCUAUCAGAUGAGCCUAGGUCGGAUUAGCUAGUUGGUGAGGUAAUGGCUCACCAAGGCGACGAUCCGUAACUGGUCUGAGAGGAUGAUCAGUCACACUGGAACUGAGACACGGUCCAGACUCCUACGGGAGGCAGCAGUGGGGAAUAUUGGACAAUGGGCGAAAGCCUGAUCCAGCCAUGCCGCGUGUGUGAAGAAGGUCUUCGGAUUGUAAAGCACUUUAAGUUGGGAGGAAGGGUUGUAGAUUAAUACUCUGCAAUUUUGACGUUACCGACAGAAUAAGCACCGGCUAACUCUGUGCCAGCAGCCGCGGUAAUACAGAGGGUGCAAGCGUUAAUCGGAAUUACUGGGCGUAAAGCGCGCGUAGGUGGUUUGUUAAGUUGGAUGUGAAAUCCCCGGGCUCAACCUGGGAACCGCAUUCAAAACUGACUGACUAGAGUAUGGUAGAGGGUGGUGGAAUUUCCUGUGUAGCGGUGAAAUGCGUAGAUAUAGGAAGGAACACCAGUGGCGAAGGCGACCACCUGGACUAAUACUGACACUGAGGUGCGAAAGCGUGGGGAACAAACAGGAUUAGAU
rnacentral:rRNA from 1 species